rnacentral:rRNA from 1 species
ACGCUGGCGGAGGCUAACACUGCAGGUGCAGCGCGCCUUCGGGUGAGCGGCGGACGGGUUAGUAACGCGUGGGAACGUGCCCUUCUCUACGGAAUAGCCUCUGGAAACGGAGAGUAAUACCGUAUACGCCCUUUGGGGGAAAGAUUUAUCGGAGAAGGAUCGGCCCGCGUUAGAUUAGGUAGUUGGUGGGGUAACGGCCUACCAAGCCUACGAUCUAUAGCUGGUUUAAGAGGAUGAUCAGCAACACUGGGACUGAGACACGGCCCAGACUCCUACGGGAGGCAGCAGUGGGGAAUCUUAGACAAUGGGGGCAACCCUGAUCUAGCCAUGCCGCGUGAGUGAUGAAGGCCUUAGGGUCGUAAAGCUCUUUCGCCUGUGAUGAUAAUGACAGUAGCAGGUAAAGAAACCCCGGCUAACUCCGUGCCAGCAGCCGCGGUAAUACGGAGGGGGUUAGCGUUGUUCGGAAUUACUGGGCGUAAAGCGCGCGUA